rnacentral:rRNA from 1 species
UACGUAGGAGGCAAGCGUUGUCCGGAAUUACUGGGCGUAAAGCGCGUGUAGGUGGUGGGACAAGUCUGCUGUGAAAGCGCCUGGCUUAACCGGGCGAGGUCGGCGGAACUGUUUCACUGGAGGACGGUAGAGGGGGUGGAAUUCCCGGUGUAGUGGUGAAAUGCGUAGAGAUCGGGAGGAACACCUGUGGCGAAGGCGGCUUCCUGGCCUGUUCUUGACGCUGAGGCGCGAAAGCUAGGGGAGCAAACGGGGAUUAAGAAACCCGUUG